UGUAAUUAACCUUCUUUGAUACACUGCUGAAAUCACAGAAGGCUUUAGUAAAGUGCAUCACUAUAUAUUAAAACUGUACUUUUUUUCUGACUCGUAUAACCUACUGGCAUAGCUACAGUAUCUAAUGUGUAUACUAUGAUGUUUACUAGCUGUAUUCAUGUUGUCAUUAGAGUCGACUUCUCUUUUUGUAUUAAUGUUUAUUGCUCCACUAUUAAUGUUUUAAAGGAACACUCCAAACACAUAAAGCACUUUAGUUCUCUGACAUGGGUUAUGUGUGAAGAGUGUGGCCUCGUUUUUUGGGUAGCUUCCAUACCUGCCAAGUGUAUCUAGUUAAGAGGGACAGUCCUGAUUUUUGGCCAAAAUGCCUCUGUCCAAUUCUAUCCUAAUGUCCCACUUUUGUAAAAGCUCCAUAUUAUUCAUGUGUCUGAAUAUAUAGCAUUGCCCUGUAGCAAUAAUACUCACAGCAACAAUAAAUAUGAUUAGAAAUCAGUCUGUAUAAAUCAAA